CGAGCGAACUGGACGUGCGAUCUUGGGAAUCAGUCUCACACGCCACAACGCGAUAUUGAUAGAUUGGAAUAAUUAAAUCCAAAAUAAGGUGGUCACCCCGUGUGACAGCCGGAUUUUGUGGGUUUUUUCGCGAUUUUAUAGCGAUAAACGGAACCCCCGAGAAUCGUGGAGAUCAUGGAGAAGCAUAUGGGAUCCUGUGGACUAAUUUUACGCUGAAUUAAUCCGAGACAUCAGAGUUAAAAAAUUCUGUCAUAAAAUUUGAAAAAAUCACGAAAAAACCCCAAAAAAUGCGCUUGCCACACGGGGUGACCCUCUCAAGCCGAAUCAGUUUUUUAAAAAUAAAAAUCGUUUCAUUAUAGUACAUCCAAGUUGUUUCAGGUAUUUACAUACACACACAUACACACAC